rnacentral:snoRNA from 1 species
GUGAUGAGAAACGGCUUAUGACAUGGUGAAAUGUCCUAAACCAGGCUGA